GAUGAACGCUGGCGGCGUGCCUAAUACAUGCAAGUCGAGCGAACAGAUGAGGAUCUUGCUGCUCGCACGUGAGCGGCAGACGUGUGAGUAACACGUGUGUCACCUACCUAUAAUACUGGUAUCACCUCGGGAAACCGGCGCUAAUACCGGAGAAGAUAUUGAACCGCGUGGGUGAAUAGUAAAAUACGGCGGUGCGGUCUCGACUAGAGGGAUCCGCGCCGGAUUAGCUGGUUGGUAAGGUAACGGCUUAUCAAGGCGACCAGGCGUAGGCGACCGCAUGGGCGGAUCGGCCACCCUGGAACGGGACCGGGGACAAGACUCCUACGGGAGGGAGCAGUCGGGAAUCUUCCGCAAUGGGCGAGAGCAUGGCGGAGUAACGGGACGUGAGUGAUGAAGGUCUUGGGAUCGUAAAACUCUGUUAUUAGGGAAGAACCAAUGUGUAAGUAACUAUGCACGUCUUGACGGUAACUAAUAAGAAAGCCACGGCUAACUACGUG
rnacentral:rRNA from 1 species